rnacentral:rRNA from 1 species
GACGAAGGAUGCAAGCGUUAUCCGGAUUCAUUGGGUUUAAAGGGAUCGUAGGUGGUCUUAUAAGUCAGUGGUGAAAUCUCUGGGCUUAACCCAGAAAUUGCCAUUGAUACUGUAGGACUUGAGUAUAGUUGCCGUUGGCGGAAUAUGACAUGUAGUGGUGAAAUACAUAGAGAUGUCAUAGAACACCGAUUGCGAAGGCAGCUAACGAAACUAUAACUGACACUGAGGCUCGAAAGUGCGGGGAUCAAACAGG